UAGGGAAUCUUCGGCAAUGGGGGGAACCCUGACCGAGCAACGCCGCGUGAGUGAAGAAGGUUUUCGGAUCGUAAAGCUCUGUUGUUAACGAAGAACGAGUGUGAGAAUGGAAAGUUCAUGCUGUGACGGUACUUAACCAGAAAGGGACGGCUAACUACGUGCCAGCAGCCGCGGUAAUACGUAGGUCCCGAGCGUUGUCCGGAUUUAUUGGGCGUAAAGCGAGCGCAGGCGGUCAAUUAAGUCUGAUGUGAAAGCCCCCGGCUCAACCGGGGAGGGUCAUUGGAAACUGGUUGACUUGAGUGCAGAAGAGGAGAGUGGAAUUCCAUGUGUAGCGGUGAAAUGCGUAGAUAUAUGGAGGAACACCAGUGGCGAAGGCGACUCUCUGGUCUGUAACUGACGCUGAGGCUCGAAAGCGUGGGUAGCAAACAGG
rnacentral:rRNA from 1 species